rnacentral:rRNA from 1 species
GACGAACGCUGGCGGCGUGGAUUAGGCAUGCAAGUCGAACGGUAUCAUCCUUUCGGGGGUGAGAGAGUGGCGAACUGGUGAGUAACACGUAGGUUAUCUACCCUCAAGACGGGGACAACCCAGGGAAACUUGGGCUAAUACCGGAUGUGAGCAACUUUUAGUUGUUUGAAAGGUGGCGUAAGCUGUCGCUUGGGGAUGAGCCUGCGUCCUAUUAGUUAGUUGGUGAGGUAACGGCUCACCUAGGCAAUGAUAGGUAGGCGGCCUUAACGGGUGGUCGCCCACACUGGGAUUGAGAUACGGCCCAGACUCCUACGGGAGGCAGCAGUCGAGAAUGUCUACAAUGGUCGGAAGACUGAUAGUGCGACGCCGCGUGAACGAUGAAUCCCUUCGGGGUUAAAGUUCUUUUAUAUGUGAGCAGUGCUUCUUAUAUUAACAGUAUGGGGAAGAGAUAUUAGCAUAUGAAAUAAGCAAACGGUCUAACUCCGUGCCAGCCAGCCCGGGUAAUACG